rnacentral:rRNA from 1 species
CACGUAGGGUGCGAGCGUUGUCCGGAAUUAUUGGGCGUAAAGAGCUCGUAGGCGGUGUGUCACGUCGGCCGUGAAAACCUGCAGCUUAACUGUGGGCGUGCGGUCGAUACGGGCAUCACUGGAGUUCGGCAGGGGAGACUGGAAUUCCUGGUGUAGCGGUGAAAUGCGCAGAUAUCAGGAGGAACACCGGUGGCGAAGGCGGCAUCCUGGACCAACACUGACAGCUGAGGAGCGAAAGCCAGGGGAGCAAACGGG